CAGCAGAAUGAUGAAGUAUUUCGUGGAGUUGUUAGUGUGCCGUCUUGGCUUUGUGCUUUCAAUGAUGACACGACUUGUCAUAGUUACUCUGACUGCUA